CCCUUAGAUGUCCUGGGCCGCACGCGCGCUACACUGAGUGUCUGAGAUACGAGUCUGCCUGGUCCGGCAAGGUCUAGGUAAUCGCUAAAAGACACAUCAUGCUUGGGAUAGAUUAUUGCAAAUAUUAAUCUUGAACGAGGAAUUCCUAGUAAGCGCAAGUCAACAGCUUGCGUUGAUUACGUCCCUGCCCUUUGUACACACCGCCCGUCGCUACUACUGAUUGGAUGUUUAAGCGAGGUUCUCGAACUGCUAGCGACUUAGCUUCGGUGAGGUCGCAGUGAGGGAAGUGAACCUAGCUUUGGUGUCUAGAGGAAGUAAAAGUCGUAACA
rnacentral:rRNA from 1 species